CGGAUUGCGUUUUCAGUCUGUGAGCAGCUGCGUGAGCCGCACGACGAUCAACGAAUCAGCGAACGAUCGUGCUGAUCGUGCCUGAAGUUAAGUGCACGCCAUAGGGAAAGACGUUAAAAGUGGCCGAUCAAAAUGUACGGCAAGUGUGUGACAGACCCAAUGAUAAAGUUGCUGUGUACAAAUAAUAAAUCUCUAAGACUUAAGCCUAAAAGAUGAUCAAAGAUCAGUGUUAACUACAGAUUGCGAAGGCGGCAGGCGGCUGCUGGCUGGCGGCAAACGGCCACAAGAAGUUGCAAGCGAGUCGCAGUUCAGGUACCUUGCUGCCUACCAGCGGUGGCAUCAACAGUUCAGCCUCAAGAUGUUGCCGACGCGCACAAUGUGCGGCUUUAAGAAAUGCCGAAUUCCAGAAGCUGCAGUACAAUCAGUUGAAUUAAAAAACAGCCCACAGACAGAGACAGACGGAGCGAGAGAGAGAGAGAGCCAGAGCGAGAGCGAGAGCGGGUGGCAGGGUGGUAGCAAGAGGGAGAUAGCUGCGAGGACAACGCGACGAUAUCAUCGCACAGCUGCGGCCUAGGAAAUUAAGAGGACAUUGUGGCGGCAUGUGGUCAGAACUCAACGCGCGGCGGCUUAAACACAAAAUCCAGCUCCAGCUCCAGCUACAGCCGCAACCGCAGCCGUCCAGCUCCAUGCUGCAGACGCAGUCGCUGGGUUCGGGCCACGCAAGAUUCUUUGCGUUGUUGCGUUGUUGGUGGCGGCUCGCGAUGGCAACCGCCACUGGCCGGCCACUGACAGAGGUCGCCCUCGUACGUAAUCGGCGAGCAUUGCAAAUGCUUUUGUGCCGUCUGUUUCGCCUGUCGCGCUGCCUUGUGCUGCGCACGUGGCCAACUUGGUGACGCUUGGCCCCAAAAACAACAGCAGCAACAGCAGCAGCAGCAGCCGCAACAGGGGCAGCAAAUCAUUGAAAUGUCGUUAGAGGCUCGAGCGGCACGCGGCUACGAUAGUCAGCCGAACCGCAAAAUGCUUUUAAUUUCUCAAACUGAUAUGUACUUAGUGUGCCCAGGUUCGAUCCGUAGAGGGGGCCAAGAACAUGUGUGUCCGUGUGUGUAUGUGUUUGUGGACAAGAGCUAAGCAGUUGGAGGAGUUGCGGCGCGAGGAGGUGGACUUUGGGUGUGCUACAACUUGAAAUAGUUCAAGGAGUUCGCAUUGUUCGAAUGGGCUUCAAUAUAAGCUAAUUUUAGCUCAAAGGGAGUUCACAUUUGAUAACAUGAGCUGCAGCACUACUUAAAAGUACUCAAGAAUAUUCAAAUUAACAAUAAUUAAAUUCAAUUUGAAUAUUUUUAAAACUUUACAACUUUCUUGAUUUGUAUAAUAAGGAAUAUUAUUUCUGAAUAAUAUUUUCCAAGUGCCAUUGACAAGCCCAAAGCUAGAUUUACUAGAUGCAUUUAUUUUUUAUUAAAUUGAAUUUUUCUUUUGAUGGUUAAGAAACUGUUAAGCAUUUUAAAUAACGUAAAAAUCUGCCCAAAAGAAUAUGUUAUAGCCAUGAAAGAGUUUAGGCUCAAACAUUUAACCCAAAGCACAAAACUGUACCUAAGAAAAACAAAAAUAAAAGUCCAAAGGGUCACUGCACACGAUCAGCAAACACUUUGAAAAGUAUACUAAUAAAAGCUAAAGCCAAUAAACUUACAA